GGAGCGGGGGGCUGGAAAGUCCGACUCGCCUGGCCUGCCCGGGCCGGGCUGAGGGAGGCGUCCGGGGCUCCCGGGCCUUGUAGGCCGAGACGUGAAGGGGCGCAGAGGGGGGAGUCACCUAAUCGGCUGUAGCCCUGGCCGGCCACCUGUUAUGGCGACGCCUCUCGACAUCCCCAACCAGUGACAGACUACUAACACGGCUGCUACUCUGAAGACUGCGAGUUGACCCACGUGGCACAUCACCGGCAUCCCACUCCAGCAAGGCCCGGGGACGUUCUGAGGCCCACGCUCUGGUGUUGUUUCAGGGCGACGAACUGUUCUGAUCCAGUGUUGCUACCCCAGCAUUCUGAGGCAAUACCAUUACGCCGUGGUCAGGCCUCAACAUUGUGAUGUUCUGGCAGGAGUACAUCAUAUCCAGACAUCAUUGUAUUCCAUUUAAAUGCCAUCGUAUCACAAGGCUACUUCAUGACAAUGGCCUUGAUUUAGCAAAGCACUUAAACGCAUGCUUAAGUUUCAUGGCUUCAAGAUAAUUUUGGGACCCAUCAGCUUUCUCACAGUCAACCCUGUUAAAUUCAGAAAUAGUAAAACAAGUGGUCAUCUCUGCCUGCUGCUGAGGUUCUUGGAGUACUGUAAAAGCAGUUAACUUAUAAUAUUGAUUAUAAUAAAUAAUUAAGACAUCAUAAAAUGUAGAAAAAACAUUAUGUAAGUGACCAGUCCACGGACCAGUUACCUGACAGAGACAGCCUUUGCUUGAAGGUAGAAUUAACAUUGUACUGGAAACCAGAAGGGGAUACUAUAAAGUGGUUGCUCUCCAGAAUGGCUCCUGGAGAUAUAAACUUCCUUACAGAUGUAACCACACAUACUAUGAGAAACAAAUUAAGCAGCCAAAUAAGUUAGUACCAAUAAUUAAUUGAAAAGUUCAGCCCCUUCUAUGCUGUCAGUACCUGUAACUGAUGUCAAAGCGGGGCUAAAUUUCUUACCUCAAUAGCCCUGCCCUUUGAGAGACUGCAGGAAAACAUUUGGGUUUUGUUGUUGCAGAGUCUACAUUUUUGUUAAUGGCAUGGAAGGUUGGCAUGGCAUGGCACACAAUCAGAAGGUUCCCCAAUGUCCCUAAAAUUCAGCAUUUUCAAUAAAAUGUUUUGCUUUCUAGACAAUAUAAACCUAUGGUGCAUGUCAACCUCUAUGCAACAUCACUAUGAAAUAAGUAUCUAAAGUGUUUUCCAAAGGUACUGGAAAAAUAUUGUAUCAAUAUUUAUAGUUAUCAUUCUAACAGAGGCAUGAGAUACAAAUACGGUAGGAACUAAUGUUGUUUCCUUUAUGCAUCAUAAAGCAUUCAAAAAUAAGAAAAUUUGUCCUACAGAUGUAUUUUCUAAAGGUACAUCAGAUGAGGAUUUCAGACAUGCAUAACUCCCAUCUUAUUUUACCAACAGAUCUUUCUCAAUCUGGAACUAUAUGGCUGAUUCUAAUAUAAAUAAAUAAGACAUAUUGCAUAAUGUUUUUUUUGAA